rnacentral:rRNA from 1 species
GAUGAACGCUGGCGGCGUGCCUAAUACAUGCAAGUCGAGCGAACAGACGAGGAGCUUGCUCCUCUGACGUUAGCGGCGGACGGGUGAGUAACACGUGGAUAACCUACCUAUAAGACUGGGAUAACUUCGGGAAACCGGAGCUAAUACCGGAUAACAUGUUGAACCGCAUGGUUCAACAGUGAAAGACGGUCUUGCUGUCACUUAUAGAUGGAUCCGCGCCGCAUUAGCUAGUUGGUAAGGUAACGGCUUACCAAGGCAACGAUGCGUAGCCGACCUGAGAGGGUGAUCGGCCACACUGGAACUGAGACACGGUCCAGACUCCUACGGGAGGCAGCAGUACGGAAUCUUCCGCAAUGGGCGAAAGCCUGACGGAGCAACGCCGCGUGAGUGAAGAAGGUCUUCGGAUCGUAAAACUCUGUUAUUAGGGAAGAACAAAUGUGUAAGUAACUAUGCACGUCUUGACGGUACCUAAUCAGAAAGCCACGGCUAACUACGUG